GGGGGGGGGGGGUGGGGGACUCGUGUUUCGUGUGUGGCUGUAGACCCAGCGGCCGAGGAGCACACUUGGGACUCCCAGCGCAUCAUCCUGGCUGUCUUCUUAGGGGGAUGCACUUUCUCGGAGAUUUCUGCACUCCGCUUCCUGGGCAAAGAAAGAGGCCUCAGGUUUGUGUUCCUGACCACGGCCAUCACUAACAGCGCGCGAUUGCUGGAAUCCAUGAUGGAGACCAGGGCCUGAGGAAGCCGGAGACCCCUUCGGACCAGACUUCUGCUUCCUGAGAAAGAAGCGUGCAGUUCUUCCUCCUCCUCCUCACAGGCACCCUGCUUGAACCUCAGGCUGCCCCGGAAAGGGGGGCUCAGUGUGGAGAUCACAUCUGGUCCUCCUGUGGGCAGAGACACUCUUCUCCAGUUUCCCAGCUGGCGGCGGGGGGGGGGGGGGGUUCAUCACCUGAGUUGGUGUUCCAGCUUGUCAUCAGAAUAAACAGCUGUGAACCUA